CCUACGGGAGGCUGCAGUGGGGAAUAUUGGACAAUGGGCGAAAGCCUGAUCCAGCCAUGCCGCGUGUGUGAAGAAGGCCUUCGGGUUGUAAAGCACUUUCAGUGGGGAAGAAAGCCUUGGGGCUAAUACCCUCGAGGAAGGACAUCACCCACAGAAGAAGCACCGGCUAACUCCGUGCCAGCAGCCGCGGUAAUACGGAGGGUGCGAGCGUUAAUCGGAAUUACUGGGCGUAAAGCGCGCGUAGGCGGUCUGAUAAGCCGGUUGUGAAAGCCCCGGGCUCAACCUGGGAACGGCAUCCGGAACGGUCAGGCUAGAGUGCAGGAGAGGAAGGUAGAAUUCCCGGUGUAGCGGUGAAAUGCGUAGAGAUCGGGAGGAAUACCAGUGGCGAAGGCGGCCUUCUGGACUGACACUGACGCUGAGGUGCGAAAGCGUGGGUAGCAAACAGGAUUAGAUACCCUUGUAGUC
rnacentral:rRNA from 1 species